AUGUGACGUCAUAUACUACUUUGUUUAAAAAAUGACGUAAUCAACCGGUAGCAACUGCCGUGUACAUCCUAAUAUUAACCAAUGAAAAGGGCGGAUUAGUGUCUACACACAUGUGGUAGACGGUUUUUCUACCACCCCUUUCUAGCACCUUUCUACAACGUCAUUGUGCUAGAAAUAGCCGCCUGCUUACUUACAGAUCUAAAUUGUCAAGCUACAGUGAUUUAUUGUUCAUUCACCAUACCACUUCAAUCAGCAUUACAACCAUAAUGUCGACAAUCCCACCGAGAAUGAUCCAAACCAUUGACCUCUACAACUACACAUGUUCAGAUGGACUUCUAAUACCAGCAAUAAAUGAGUACACGUGGUCCACUGGUGUCCGGGCAUUCCUCUAUUUCAGCGGUCUUCUCUGGUGCUUUUUAGGGGUGGCCAUCAUCGCAGAUGUCUUCAUGAGUUCCAUUGAACACAUCACUAGUAAAACAUCUACAAUUUACAUCCAUGAUGCAUCAGCUCCUGGUGGCGUGAGAACACUGGAAGUGAAGUUCUGGAAUGAUACAGUGGCCAAUCUGAGUCUUCUUGCUUUGGGAACUAGUGCCCCUGAGUGCCUUCUUCCUGUUAUAGAAAUCCUUGGCCAUAACUUUGUAGCUGGCGAGAUGGGUCUGGGAACUAUCGUAGGAACAGCUGCCUAUAAUCUGUUGGUGAUAACGGCCAUCUGCAUUGUAGUUAUACCUGCUGGUGAGAUCAGACGAGUUAAGAGUAUCACGGUGUUUCUUGUGAUGGGCUUUAUGUGCGUGUUCGCCUACGUCUGGCUAGCGCUCGUUCUUCUCGUCAUAUCUCCAGGAAUCGUCAAGCUGUGGGAGGCCAUAGUGACCCUCUUGAUGUUUCCACUGCUCAUCUUUGUGGCGUACCUUGCUCAAAGGGACUUCCACUUCAAGGGGAAGAGGGUACAUGUAAAGCAAUGGCCAGGACCAAUUGCUAUUGAAACGGUUAAGAGGGGCCACAAACCACCAUCGUUGAACUAGUCUGAAGGGAGUAUAAUGAGAUGCCAGAGUGAUACAGCUGCCACUAAACAGCAAGAUAAAUCGGUGAUAACACCCUUUAGACCAACAGAUAAAUACCAUGGUAUUGUUGAUAUGAUGAAACUGGCCAAGAAUCUUGGGGCGCAUAC
rnacentral:misc_RNA from 1 species